AGAUUGAACGCUGGCGGCGUGCCUAACACAUGCAAGUCGAACGGGAGUAGCAAUACUCUAGUGGCGGACGGGUGAGGAAUACGUAGGAAUUUGCCCUUAAGUGGGGGAUAACCCGGGGAAACCCGGAUUAAUACCGCAUGACCUCGAAAGAGCAAAGUGGGGGAUCGCAAGACCUCACGCUUUUGGAGAAGCCUACGUCGGAUUAGCUAGUUGGUGAGGUAAUGGCUCACCAAGGCGACGAUCCGUAACUGGUCUGAGAGGAUGAUCAGUCACACCGGAACUGAGACACGGUCCGGACUCCUACGGGAGGCAGCAGUGGGGAAUAUUGGACAAUGGGCGCAAGCCUGGAUCCAGCAAUGCCGCGUGUGUGAAGAAGGCCUUACGGGUUGUAAACGUCGUAACUUUAAAGGUUAGGGUAAAGAAAAAACGUGACUUACUAACACAGU
rnacentral:rRNA from 1 species